rnacentral:ncRNA from 1 species
ACUGGCCAAGUGUUCAUAGUGAUGUUGCCUUUUGAUCCUUCCAUGUCAGCUCUUCAUAUCAUUGUGAAUCAGAAUUCACCAAGUGUUGGAUUGCUUACCCACUAAUCUUUUGAGUUUUAAGCAGGA